AAUUCUCAACCCCCCUGUUUUGUAACGAGACGGGCGUGGGCUUGGAUUAUGGCUGUCUGUCGGCGUCAAGCCGGCUCAGCUGAAAUACACGAGCAACCCAUUUGAAAUAGACGGUUUGACUUGGCGUAAUAAUUAUUUCGCUGAGGACGUCUUCUUUAAAGUCAGUGGUGCUUCUAAUGCGUACUAUACAUCAUAAGC
rnacentral:misc_RNA from 1 species